rnacentral:rRNA from 1 species
UACGUAGGGUCCGAGCGUUGUCCGGAAUUACUGGGCGUAAAGAGCUCGUAGGUGGUUUGUCGCGUUGUUCGUGAAAACUCACAGCUUAACUGUGGGCGUGCGGGCGAUACGGGCAGACUAGAGUACUGCAGGGGAGACUGGAAUUCCUGGUGUAGCGGUGAAAUGCGCAGAUAUCAGGAGGAACACCGGUGGCGAAGGCGGGUCUCUGGGCCGAUAUGACGCUGAGGAGCGAAAGCGUGGGGAGCAAACAGG